UUCGCAAUGCCCGAAAGGGUGACGAAGCGACGCCGCGUGUGGGAAGAAGGCCUUCGGGUUGUAAACCACUGUCGGGAGUUAAGAAAUGUAAGGAUAUGAAUAGUGUCCUUGCUUGACUAAGGCUCCGGAGGAAGCCGCGGCUAACUCUGUGCCAGCAGCCGCGGUAAUACAGAGGCGGCAAGCGUUGUUCGGAAUUAUUGGGCGUAAAGAGCACGUAGGCGGCUGUGUAAGUCGGUUGUGAAAGCCUUCCGCUCAACGGAAGAACAGCAGCCGAUACUGCAUGGCUUGAGUGCGGGAGGGGAGAGUGGAACUUCUGGUGGAGCGGUGAAAUGCGUAGAUAUCAGAAGGAACGCCGGCGGCGAAAGCGGCUCUCUGGACCGUAACUGACGCUGAGUGUGCGAAAGCUAGGGGAGCAAACGGGAUUAGAUACCCCGGUAGUCCUAGCCGUAAACGAUGGGCACUAAGUAGAGGGGUUUU
rnacentral:rRNA from 1 species